rnacentral:rRNA from 2 species
UACGAAGGGGGCUAGCGUUGUUCGGAAUCACUGGGCGUAAAGGGCGCGUAGGCGGCUUUGUAAGUCGGGGGUGAAAGCCUGUGGCUCAACCACAGAAUUGCCUUCGAUACUGCGAGGCUUGAGACCGGAAGAGGUUAGUGGAACUGCGAGUGUAGAGGUGAAAUUCGUAGAUAUUCGCAAGAACACCAGUGGCGAAGGCGGCUGACUGGUCCGGUUCUGACGCUGAGGCGCGAAAGCGUGGGGAGCAAACAGG